rnacentral:tRNA from 1 species
AGGCUUGUAGCUCAGGUGGUUAGAGCGCACCCCUGAUAAGGGUGAGGGCGGUGGUUCAAGUCCACUCAGGCCUA